AUGAUUUUAAUUCUAACCUAACCCUAAUUGCCAACCCUUGCCCAUUUCUUCAUUUUUGCUCUCUUCUUCUUCUUCCACUGGCACCAGCCAACCCCUUUCUCUAAACCCUCUGUCCAUUACUUAGUCCCCAGCACCGUCGCCCUUGUUGGCUUAAGCCUUUCCGGCAGUGGCUUCCUCUUUCUUUCCCUUUCCUCGUUUCUUCUCUUCCCCUUCCUUCUACCGCCAGUUUCUUCUCUAUCUAAAAAAGCCUAACCACCGUUCUCCUCCGGCAAUUUGGGUUUUCUUUUAAAAGUCUUGCCUCAAAUUUAAAACCCCAUUUAAAAUCCCUUUCCUUAAAGUUGGGCGUGGGCACCCUUUAAAAGCAUUUUUCAUUAUUUUUGUUUGGCUCAAUCAAUAACAGUUUGUGUUUUCUAAUCACACUGUAAGCUACCACGUGUUAAAAUAAAAAAA
rnacentral:lncRNA from 1 species